AUUGUCCAAUUUUGACAAUCCGGAAACAGAAGUUAUGGUAAACAAAUAUGGACGACUCGGUCGGCUGCCAAGACAGACGAAGGCGUUUUACCAAAUAAUGUACGCCGAUUUAAGUCUCUUCGUCUUAUCGUCAUGCGUAAAUAAGGUGUGCAGUUUGCAUGCACCUGGUUGUCAAAUAUGUUGUACCGGCAUAGGAAGAUUAGUUGAUAGAAGGAAUGAAAACACAUCACGCACUUGUCUUUUUCAUCUGGCGAUCUGCUCUGAGAAACUGUUUGAAUGGAUCGUUUACUUUUAUGUUUUUAAGUUCUGUAUUCAUAUGUUAAGUGUAUAUCUGGAUGGAAUUGAACCCACUUCCUUAUGGUCCCUAACAAGGAGAACGUAGUAAACCAAAGGCCAAGCUGAUGCCAAGCUUCAGUGUAGAACUUUGAGCAGGUGCCAGAGAAACCUUCCUUGUUAAAGAUGUGACAUUAAUCCCCCAAACCUACAAAACACAAUUGAUUAGAGAUGCUAGUUAACCUUGUUAAUGACUGUGGAGAACUUAUGCUACAUUUACCUAAUACACAGACAAACACAGAUGGGCAAAGAAAUUAGCCUGUGAGAUCAAGAUGCAGAUAUAUCCACCAGAUACCAAAUGCCACACCAAAGCAGACAUUUUCAAAUGUUGAGAGACCUAUGAAUACAUCUACAUCCUUCUUCGGACUUUGAAAAAACUGAAUUAUGUUUGAACAGUGCUACACA